UACGUAGGGGCCUAGCGUUGUCCGGAAUUAUUGGGCGUAAAGAGCUUGUAGGCGGUUUGUCGCGUCUGCUGUGAAAAUCCGGGGCUCAACCCCGGACUUGCAGUGGGUACGGGCAGACUGGAGUGUGGUAGGGGAGACUGGAAUUCCUGGUGUAGCGGUGGAAUGCGCAGAUAUCAGGAGGAACACCGAUGGCGAAGGCAGGUCUCUGGGCCACUACUGACGCUGAGAAGCGAAAGCAUGGGGAGCGAACAGG
rnacentral:rRNA from 1 species